UUUGAUCCUGGCUCAGGACGAACGCCGGCGGCAUGCCUAAUACAUGCAAGUCGAGCGAACAGAUGAAGUGCUUGCACUUCUGACGUUAGCGGCGAACGGGUGAGUAACACGUAAGGAAUCUACCUAUAAGCGGGGGAUAACAUUCGGAAACGGGUGCUAAUACCGCAUAAUAUUUUCUUCCGCAUGGAAGAAGAUUGAAAGACGGCUUUGCUGUCACUUAUAGAUGACCUUGCGGUGCAUUAGUUAGUUGGUGGGGUAAUGGCCUACCAAGACGAUGAUGCAUAGCCGACCUGAGAGGGUGAUCGGCCACAUUGGGACUGAGACACGGCCCAAACUCCUACGGGAGGCAGCAGUAGGGAAUCUUCCGCAAUGGGCGAAAGCCUGACGGAGCAAUGCCGCGUGAGUGAAGAAGGCCUUCGGGUCGUAAAACUCUGUUAUAAGAGAAGAACAAAUUGUAGAGUAACUGCUACAGUCUUGACGUGAUCUUAUCAGAC
rnacentral:rRNA from 1 species